rnacentral:miRNA from 1 species
GUGGGCGCUCGACGAGUCC